UACAGAGGUCUCAAGCGUUUGUUCGGAUUCAUUGGGCGUAAAGGGUGCGUAGGCGGCGCGGUAAGUCGGGUGUGAAAUCUCGGAGCUUAACUCCGAAACUGCAUUCGAUACUGCCGUGCUUGAGGACUGGAGAGGAGACUGGAAUUUACGGUGUAGCGGUGAAAAUGCGUAGAUAUCGUAAGGAAGACCAGUGGCGAAGGCGGGGUCUCUGGACA
rnacentral:rRNA from 1 species